GACUUCCUCCAAAACAUCCAGGGAAGUCUAAUGACUUCAAAACUAUAUGAUGAGUGGAUUGGUGUACCCGACAAGGUCAAUGAUGAAGAGAAAUUAGCCGCAGUGCAGAGUCUUUUAGAUAAAAUGCCACCUGAAAAUGCGGCUCUUCUGAGGCAACUUUUUUUUAUAUUAUAUGAAAUUAAAAAUAACUCUCCUUCUAAUGAAAUGUCUUCUUACCACCUAUCUGUUGGGUUAGCCCCAUGUCUCUUAUUCAUGCCCAGCUCCUGCAAUAAUGGAGUGACAUGAUAUUGGCAAAAAGAUUUCUCUAGUAGAAUUUAUGAUCGAAAAUUCUCCAAAAGUUUUUGGAGAGGACUUGGCUGCAGUGUGGCUUGGAACAUCACUAUAUCAUCCUCCUGGAGGAAAGUCCUCAUGUUCCCAGAAUAAUGCAACAAAUAUUGGAAACAUUAAGGAAACCGAACAUGGACUCAGCAGCUGCCCCACUGGGAGGAUAUGUACUCCUGGCUAUAACACACGGCCGAGAAGUCCAGCUGCU
rnacentral:lncRNA from 1 species